GGGUAUAGCUCAGCGGUAGAGCACAUGCUUAGCAUGCACAGGGUCCUGGGUUCAAUCCCCAGUACCUCCA
rnacentral:tRNA from 1 species